ACCCUACUUCACCAAUUCUUUCAUGCAUACCAGAAAAGACUCUCGUCCAAGUUUUCCCCUUCUCCUUCCUGACUAACUCUGGUGCCUCCCUGCGCAGCCCCUGGAGCGUGGCAUGUCCCCUCCUCUAGGAAUAUAUGAAGAGCUAUAAAAAUGGAUUUAUAAAUGGGAAUGGCAUGACUGACAAGCCAAAGGCAUAUGUGGAGAGGAUGUAGGAGUAACACAGAAAUGAUAUCCAUCCCCACAAAUAGCCAGGAGGACAGGCAGCUGGAGAAACCGGCCCAAGGUGUCCAUCUGCUGUGGAGAAGAUUAGGAUUUGCUGCUGAAGUAACAAAGAAGGAUAAGGGUGAUUUUCACUUAUAACAUGCAGAAUAGGAUUAGGCAAAAACAAUAGCUUUACUAGCCAGGCAUUUGUAUUGAGAGGAUUUUCCAAAAGUCUCUAAUAGCCUUCAUGAAAGGCCAUUGAGGGAGGGACACUUCUAUUGCGAUGAGAAGCUGUCCCUUUCCCCUUAAGACAAGAAAGCUGGUGAACCUUAUUGCUCAAUACGGGGAGGAUGUAACAAAAGAGAAAUCAAAGAACAAAAACAAACAGGAAGAGCCUGGAGAAGACUGGGGAGUGGAGAACAAGGAGAGCGAGUCAGGACGGGCUUUGAACCCGACAAAGGGGGUUACUCUCAAUAAAGGCGGGCGUGAGGAGAGCACCAAGGGCAAGAACGGUCUGUCGCUCCCUCCCGUCUUCUGUUAGGGUCCUGGAAGAGACCACCCAACCUCGAACUUGGCUCCUGCAAACGGGUCCUGCAGUGUCGUUGGGCAGAGAAGGCUCUGAGCCACUCUUGUUCCCAAUGGACAGGAAUUCUGAAUUGAGAACCGAGAAUCCUGACAGUCAGGAUACCAUACGCGGAGGAAGACCAAGAAUCGCGGGCAACCGUCAGGACCUGGGAGAGAGACGUGGAAACGAUUCUCUCAGAACCUCCAGUUUGAACCAACACUGCAGACACUUUGAUCUGGGGCUUCUAGCCUCCAGAACUAUACAAGGAUAAAUUUCUGUUGUGCUAAAUCACUCAGUUUGUGGUGGUUUUUUUGUUUGUUUGUUUUUUUACAGCAGCCUUAGCAGACCAGCACAAGUACCAUGUGAGGGGUGGCUUCAACAGGGCAUUAGCAUAGGACUGGGAAACACAGUGAAAGGGGAAUCUUUUCCAUGAAAAGCCGGACGCUCUGUCUCAUGGGCGUGGUAUAGAAGUGACUGACUGCAGGCAACAGCUACACAGAGUGGCCAGCUCAGCCAGAAAGAUGCGGGAAACCUAAAAAAGAGACCUCUCCAUACACAGAAGCUCUACUGUCAUUCCCAGAAGAAACCAGGCCUGUGGUGGGCCAAGAUGGAAGUCAGUCUCAGCAUGUAGGACAAAGACAUUUCUAAUCGUAGAGCAAAGGAAAUGAGGAAUUUAUGACAAAGCUCAAAC
ensembl:lncRNA